CGGCGGUGCGCCGCGCAUGCGCCGGCCCAGCCGGCGGGCUCCUGGUGGUCGCGUUGCCUGUUGGAGUCAGUCUGUGAUCCAGGACCCCCUCCCUGGGCAGUGUGAGAACGGGCAGGGACACAGCCCCUGAUGGGACCGCAGAGCCUGGAGCCUUCCCUUCCUUCUGCUGCUCCUGUCCUCGCCCCGUCUCCCAUCACCAACGCUCCAUCUGCGUCCCCCAAAGCAACCAGGCUCCGGCAGCAGCCCUCCUGCAAGCCCGGGGCAAGGAAACAAGCAUUUCUUAUUAUCGGGACAACUGACGUUAUUUCAGCCCAUCACUAAGACUUGUGGCAGAACAGGAAGAAAGAAUGAGACAAAGCUGCAAUUUCCCAGCAAGCACUUCUUCUCAGAAACGGGGAGGAGUGGAUACACUAAUUCUGAAAAGCCUGACUAAUAAUUCUGGAAAUCAAUUCCAUCUACCCCUUCGGGGGCAGGUAGAGCAGAAGCAGCAGUGCUGCAGCCUGCCCCACACUGCCGUGACCUGCCGGCAGGUCUCCAAGCCACCUGGAAGUAGAGACAGGAGAACAGAUUACGUGCCACGUCCCUCAGCUGCUUCACUGAGGUUACCAGCAGAAUUGCAGAUAGCGCCGGAUCGGGAUCUUUGGAAGGUGGUUAUCUGUCCCCAGAGAACUAAGCUAACUAUGAGGUAGCUUUGUGUGGAGCAUUAAACAACUGUUAGGUGGUAACAACUUUUUGUCACUGACGUCAUCAGCCAGAUCGGAGCAGGCGAUAACCCUCGUAGGCCUCCAUCUUUCUACAUAUCUACCAAGUCUCCUCUUCCACUCCAGCUUCUGAAGAAAUGUUGUUUUAAUAAAAGUUCAUGUGUUUCUAUAAAGGGUGUGUACAUACUCUAUCUGGCCAAAUAUUUUGCACCUCCUUCAGUUAGCCCCUUAGCAGAUAAGGGUUUGCAAGCUUUAUCAGAUGGUAAAGUUACACCAUUAAUCUUAGUUUGUAUAUUCAACCUCAUGCCUGGUAAUAUGGUCCUUACAUCUUUAGUGAAAAAAUGUUGCAUGUCUGCCAAUGAAAACAUACAAUAUUUUUCUUGCUAAAACAGGGAUAUUACCUCCAAAAUUGUUGAUAAAUGCAUAUGCAAAAGCAGAGUAGUCCAAUACCAAGCUGCUAGAACUGUGAUCAUUCCAACAUAAUACUUGAAUAGGCUCGAUCAUCUAUUCUUGCCAAUUCAACAAUUAUAUUCUUAUU